rnacentral:rRNA from 8 species
GCGAUAGCGAAGAGGUCACACCCGUUCCCAUACCGAACACGGAAGUUAAGCUCUUCAGCGCCGAUGGUAGUCGGGGGUUUCCCCCUGUGAGAGUAGGACGCCGCCAAGC